rnacentral:rRNA from 1 species
AGAGUUUGAUCCUGGCUCAGAACGAACGCUGGCGGCGUGGAUAAGACAUGCAAGUCGAACGCGACUUAUCUGGUUAGCAAUAACUAGGUAAGUUGAGUGGCGAAAGGGUGCGUAACACGUGGGAAUUUACCAAGAAGUGGGGAAUAGCUCGACGAAAGUCGAAUUAAUACCGCAUGUGAUCGAAAGAUUAAAGCCGGGGACCGCAAGGCCUGGCGCUUUUUGAGAAGCCCGCGGCCCAUCAGCUAGUUGGCGGGGUAACGGCCCACCAAGGCUAUGACGGGUAGCUGGUCUGAGAGGACGACCAGCCACACUGGAACUGAGACACGGUCCAGACACCUACGGGUGGCAGCAGUCGAGAAUUUUUCACAAUGGACGAAAGUCUGAUGGAGCGACGCCGCGUGGAGGAUGAAGGUUUUCGGAUUGUAAACUCCUGUCACUGCAGAACAAGGAUACGUCAGUUAACAGCCGACGUAUUUGAUGGUAUGCGGAGAGGAAGGGACGGCUAACUCUGUGCCAGCAGCCGCGGUAAGACAGAGGUCCCGAGCGUUGUUCGGAUUCAUUGGGCGUAAAGGGUGUGUAGGAGGCUAGGUAAGUCAGGUGUGAAAUCUCACAGCUUAACUGUGAAACUGCGCUUGAUACUGCUUGGCUAGAGGAUCGGAGGGGGUAACGGAAUUUAUGGUGUAGCAGUGAAAUGCGUAGAUAUCAUAAGGAACACCGGUGGCGAAGGCGGUUACCUGGAAGAUUCCUGACUCUGAAACACGAAAGCCAGGGGAGCAAACGGGAUUAGAUACCCCAGUAGUCC